CCUACGGGUGGCACCAGUGGGGAAUAUUGCACAAUGGGCGCAAGCCUGAUGCAGCCAUGCCGCGUGUGUAAAGAAGGCCUCCGGGUUGUAAAGCACUUUCAGCGGGGAGGAAGGCGUUAAGGUUAAUAACCUCAUCGAUUGACGUUACCCGCAGAAGAAGCACCGGCUAACUCCGUGCCAGCAGCCGCGGUAAUACGGAGGGUGCAAGCGUUAAUCGGAAUUACUGGGCGUAAAGCGCACGCAGGCGGUCUGUCAAGUCGGAUGUGAAAUCCCCGGGCUCAACCUGGGAACUGCAUUCGAUACUGGCAGGCUAGAGUCUUGUAGGGGGGGGUAGAAUUCCAGGUGUAGCGGUGAAAUGCGUAGAGAUCUGGAGGAAUACCGGUGGCGAAGGCGGCCCCCUGGACAAAGACUGACGCUCAGGUGCGAAAGCGUGGGGAGCAAACAGGAUUAGAUACCCGAGUAGUC
rnacentral:rRNA from 1 species